UACGUAGGGUGCAAGCGUUAAUCGGAAUUACUGGGCGUAAAGCGUGCGCAGGCGGUUUUGUAAGUCUGUCGUGAAAGCCCCGGGCUCAACCUGGGAAUGGCAAUGGAUACUGGAUAGCUAGAGUGUGAUAGAGGAUGGUGGAAUUCCCGGUGUAGCGGUGAAAUGCGUAGAGAUCGGGAGGAACAUCAGUGGCGAAGGCGGCCAUCUGGAUCAACACUGACGCUGAGGCACGAAAGCGUGGGGAGCAAACAGG
rnacentral:rRNA from 1 species